rnacentral:rRNA from 1 species
UGAAUACGAGACGCUAAGGCGUCGAAGUAGUGUAUGUCAUACUUCCAAGAAAAGCUUGCACUGUCAUAGAUAAAAAACGCCUGUACCAUAACCGACACAGGUGGGUAGGUAGAGUAUACUAAGGGGCGCGAGAUAACUCUCUCUAAGGAACUCGGCAAAAUAACUCCGUAACUUCGGGAGAAGGAGUGCCUUAUUCUUAAGGUUGCAAUAACAAGAUCCAAGCAACUGUUUAUCAAAAACACAGGUCUCCGCUAAGUCGUAAGACGAUGUAUGGGGGCUGACGCCUGCCCAGUGCCAGAAGGUUAAAGAAGCUGGUUAGCAUUUGCGAAGCUAGUAACUGAAGCCCUGGUGAACGGCGGCCGUAACAAUAACGGUCCUAAGGUAGCGAAAUUCCUUGUCGGGUAAGUUCCGACCCGCACGAAAGGCGUAAUGAUUUGGAUACUGUCUCGGAGAGGGGCUCGGUGAAAUAGACUUGUCUGUGAAGAUGCGGACUACCUGCACCAGGACAGAAAGACCCUAUGAAGCUUUACUGUAACUUGAAAUUGAAAUUGGACUUUAUUCGCGCAGUAUAGGUGGGAGGCGUUGAUUAUAAUCUUGCGGGAUUAUUGGAGCCAUUAGUGAGAUACCACUCUUGUAAUGUUAGAUUUCUAACUUUGAAUCAUUAUCUGGUCAAAGAACAGUUUCAGGCGGGCAGUUUGACUGGGGCGGUCGCCUCCUAAACGGUAACGGAGGCGUACAAAGGUUUCCUCUGAACGGUUAGAAAUCGUAUCUAGAGUGUAAAGGCAUAAGGAAGCUUGACUGUGAGACCUACAAGUCGAGCAGGGACGAAAGUCGGCCUUAGUGAUCUGACGGUACUGAGUGGAAAGGCCGUCACUCAACGGAUAAAAGUUACUCUAGGAUAACAGGCUGAUCUCCCCCAAGAGUUCACAUCGACGGGGAGGUUUGGCACCUCGAUGUCGGCUCAUCGCAUCCUGGGGCGGUAGUACGUCCCAAGGGUUGGGCUGUUCGCCCAUGAAAGCGGUACGCGAGCUGGGUUCAGAACGUCGUGAGACAGUUCGGUCCAUAUCCGGUGUAGGCGUUAGAAUAUUGAGAGGAGCCUUCUUUAGUACGAGAGGACCGAGAAGGACAUACCUCUGGUGUACCAGUUAUCGUGCCAACGGUAAACGCUGGGUAGCUAUGUAUGGAGUGGAUAACCGCUGAAAGCAUCUAAGUGGGAAGCCCACCUCAAGAUAAGUAUUCUCAC